rnacentral:rRNA from 1 species
GCUGAGAACUGGUGCUUGCACCGGUUCAAGGAGUUGCGAACGGGUGAGUAACGCGUAGGUAACCUACCUCAUAGCGGGGGAUAACUAUUGGAAACGAUAGCUAAUACCGCAUAAGAGAGACUAACGCAUGUUAGUAAUUUAAAAGGGGCAAUUGCUCCACUAUGAGAUGGACCUGCGUUGUAUUAGCUAGUUGGUGAGGUAAAGGCUCACCAAGGCGACGAUACAUAGCCGACCUGAGAGGGUGAUCGGCCACACUGGGACUGAGACACGGCCCAGACUCCUACGGGAGGCAGCAGUAGGGAAUCUUCGGCAAUGGGGGCAACCCUGACCGAGCAACGCCGCGUGAGUGAAGAAGGUUUUCGGAUCGUAAAGCUCUGUUGUUAGAGAAGAAUGAUGGUGGGAGUGGAAAAUCCGCCAAGUGACGGUAACUAACCAGAAAGGGACGGCUAACUACGUGCCAGCAGCCGCGGUAAUACGUAGGUCCCGAGCGUUGUCCGGAUUUAUUGGGCGUAAAGCGAGCGCAGGCGGUUUUUUAAGUCUGAAGUUAAAGGCAUUGGCUCAACCAAUGUACGCUUUGGAAACUGGAGAACUUGAGUGCAGAAGGGGAGAGUGGAAUUCCAUGUGUAGCGGUGAAAUGCGUAGAUAUAUGGAGGAACACCGGUGGCGAAAGCGGCUCUCUGGUCUGUAACUGACGCUGAGGCUCGAAAG